rnacentral:rRNA from 1 species
GACGUAGGGGACGAGCGUUGUCCGGAUUCAUUGGGCGUAAAUCGCGCGUAGGCGGUUUCGCAAGUCGGUUGUGAAAAUCCGGGGCUCAACCCCGGACCUGCAUCCGAUACUGCGUGACUAGAGGUAGGUAGGGGAGAUCGGAAUUCCCGGUGUAGCGGUGAAAUGCGCAGAUAUCGGGAGGAACACCAGUAGCGAAGGCGGCUCGCUGGGCCAUUCCUGACGCUGAGACGCGAAAGCUAGGGGAGCGAACAGG